UACAGAGGGUGCAAGCGUUAAUCGGAUUUACUGGGCGUAAAGCGUGCGUAGGCGGUUCAUUAAGUCGGUUGUGAAAUCCCUGGGCUUAACCUGGGAACUGCAGUCGAUACUGGUGGACUAGAAUGCGGUAGAGGGUGGCGGAACUCCGGGUGUAGCGGUGAAAUGCGUAGAUAUCCGGAAGGAACACCAGUGGCGAAAGCGGCUUCCUGGUCCAGCACCGACGUCAGGCACGAAAGCGUGGGGAGCAAACAGG
rnacentral:rRNA from 1 species